GCCGAUGUGGCGGAAUUGGCAGACGCGCGGGACUCAAAAUCCCGUGUCCAUUAGGACGUGUCGGUUCGACCCCGACCAUCGGUACUA
rnacentral:tRNA from 2 species